rnacentral:rRNA from 1 species
UACGAAGGGGGCUAGCGUUGUUCGGAAUUACUGGGCGUAAAGGGCGCGUAGGCUGUGCUGUAAGUCAGGCGUGAAAGCCCCGGGCUCAACCUGGGAAUUGCGCUUGAUACUGCGGCGCUGGAAGGUGGGAGAGGAUGGCGGAAUUCCCAGUGUAGAGGUGAAAUUCGUAGAUAUCUGGAGGAAUACCGGUGGCGAAGGCGGCAUCCUGGACCGAUAUUGACACUGAUGAGCGAAAGCUAGGGGAGCAAACGGG